GUCGUUAUUCGUAUCCGUCUGCAGUAAGUCUCUAGUUACCGUUUUACGUACAUCUGCUCCUCCAGAUCUGGCCUUGAUAUCUGAGAAAAUUUUAAGGGACAUGUUUAGUUCGUCCGGGGCAGCGCAGGAGGUGGGGAGACCGAGAUUGGCUACUAUCCGAUCGCAGAAGGGCAAGCUAAGUAUCUCAUGAAACCAACCCUGAUUCCCUAUUCCGCAGAUAAGGUCGGGGUCUCUUUUCUCAUGUCCGGAUGCACGAAGCUCGGGAAGGAGAGAUGGACGUCUGCACGAAGAAGCUCAGGCUUGUGAUCGGAGACGCAGAAAUUUCGGACGCGACCGUUGGACGUCGAGGGCCCCUUCCCGGGGGGGAUCCCCUCCAGGGGAAUGACAAUUAAUGACUGCGCAUCCAAAGCAGGAAUCAUGGAGGAGGUGACCAUGGAAUGGCCAGAGCGGAGCUUGUCAGCUCCUGGGAAUCCGUCGUACGCGUUAACCAAACCCGUCCCCGGCGGCGCAGGGGAUUCUGAUCUUCAGGCCGGAAGGCCAUCCAUGCACAGGCAUUCCUCUGCGACACGAGGAGACGACGGGGAGGGGAUACAGUCGCGCUGUCUGGUUUCGCCAUUUCAUUCUGUCCCCCGUGAGCCACUAGGUGGGUAGGACACAGUAAGCCCUCAAUUACCAUUUUACGUGGGUUUCCUCCCCUGUCCAUCGCCCAGUUGUCUU
rnacentral:lncRNA from 1 species